AUUGAACGCUGGCGGCAUGCCUUACACAUGCAAGUCGAACGGCAGCGGGGACUUCGGUCCGCCGGCGAGUGGCGAACGGGUGAGUAAUGUAUCGGAACGUACCAUUCAGUGGGGGAUAACUAUCCGAAAGGAUAGCUAAUACCGCAUAUUCUGUGAGCAGGAAAGCAGGGGAUCGCAAGACCUUGCGCUGAUUGAGCGGCCGAUAUCAGAUUAGCUAGUUGGUGAGGUAACGGCUCACCAAGGCUACGAUCUGUAGCGGGUCGGAGAGGAUGAUCCGCCACACUGGGACUGAGACACGGCCCAGACUCCUACGGGAGGCAGCAGUGGGGAAUUUUGGACAAUGGGCGCAAGCCUGAUCCAGCCAUGCCGCGUGAGUGAAGAAGGCCUUCGGGUUGUAAAGCUCUUUCGGCCGGGAAGAAAUCGCAUCAGCUAAUACCUGGUGUGGAUGACGGUACCGGAAUAAGAAGCACCGGCUAACUACGUGCCAGCCGCCGCGGUAA
rnacentral:rRNA from 1 species